UAGGAAAUUGCCCUGAUGUGGGGGAUAACCAUUGGAAACGAUGGCUAAUACCGCAUAAUACCUUCGGGUCAAAGAGGGGGACCUUCGGGCCUCUCGCGUCAGGAUAUGCCUAGGUGGGAUUAGCUAGUUGGUGAGGUAAUGGCUCACCAAGGCGACGAUCCCUAGCUGGUCUGAGAGGAUGAUCAGCCACACUGGAACUGAGACACGGUCCAGACUCCUACGGGAGGCAGCAGUGGGGAAUAUUGCACAAUGGGCGCAAGCCUGAUGCAGCCAUGCCGCGUGUGUGAAGAAGGCCUUCGGGUUGUAAAGCACUUUCAGUCGUGAGGAAGGUAGUGUAGUUAAUAGCUGCAUUAUUUGACGUUAGCGACAGAAGAAGCACCGGCUAACUCCGUGCCAGCAGCCGCGGUAAUACGGAGGGUGCGAGCGUUAAUCGGAAUUACUGGGCGUAAAGCGCAUGCAGGUGGUUUGUUAAGUCAGAUGUGAAAGCCCGGGGCUCAACCUCGGAAUAGCAUUUGAAACUGGCAGACUAGAGUACUGUAGAGGGGGGUAGAAUUUCAGGUGUAGCGGUGAAAUGCGUAGAGAUCUGAAGGAAUACCGGUGGCGAAGGCGGCCCCCUGGACAGAUACUGACACUCAGAUGCUAAAUCGUGGGGAGCAAACAGGAUUAGAUACCCUGGUAGUCCACGCCGUAUACGAUGUCUACUUGGAGGUUGUGGCCUUGAGCCGUGGCUUUCGGAGCUAACGCGUUAAGUAGACCGCCUGGGGAGUACGGUCGCAAGAUUAAAACUCAAAUGAAUUGACGGGGGCCCGCACAAGCGGUGGAGCAUGUGGUUUAAUUCGAUGCAACGCGAAGAACCUUACCUACUCUUGACAUCCAGAGAACUUUCCAGAGAUGGAUUGGUGCCUUCGGGAACUCUGAGACAGGUGCUGCAUGGCUGUCGUCAGCUCGUGUUGUGAAAUGUUGGGUUAAGUCCCGCAACGAGCGCAACCCUUAUCCUUGUUUGCCAGCACUUCGGGUGGGAACUCCAGGGAGACUGCCGGUGAUAAACCGGAGGAAGGUGGGGACGACGUCAAGUCAUCAUGGCCCUUACGAGUAGGGCUACACACGUGCUACAAUGGCGCAUACAGAGGGCGGCCAACUUGCGAGAGUGAGCGAAUCCCAAAAAGUGCGUCGUAGUCCGGAUCGGAGUCUGCAACUCGACUCCGUGAAGUCGGAAUCGCUAGUAAUCGUGGAUCAGAAUGCCACGGUGAAUACGUUC
rnacentral:rRNA from 1 species